GCCAGCUGGGUUAACCUUGGUGGCAGGUCUGAGCCUGGGCUCUACUCUCAUUAACCUUCCUGCAGACAGGAUGCAGGCUGUACCACAAGUGGUACGUGCUUUCUCAGAGCUCUCCCCACGCAUCCAGAAGAGUUAAUCAAAGUACACCACCAAGAAUAAGUAAUUUCAAGAAUUAUCGUCAAUGAACUUGUUUGAACCCAGCCCAGCUGCUGCAUGUAGCUUCAAACAGAUGCUACACUCUCCCUCCCUCCCUUGUCCAUCACAACUUUCCAGAAAAUGGGAGAGUAACUGUUACAGCUACAGAGAAAAUGGGAGAGUAACUGUUACAGCUACAGAAAAAUCUGCAGAAAAGUUGCCACCAAAGCUACGUGGACCAGCUGCCAGCCAAGUUCUGUCUCCUGCACUAACAAGUUUCUGCACUAAGAGAGACACUUUUUUCACAUCUGGAGAAUAA
rnacentral:lncRNA from 1 species